rnacentral:lncRNA from 1 species
UGCCAGUUCUGUCGCCUCUGGGCCGUGGUGUCUGCAGGGCCCAGGGCUGUGCUGUGUCUCCUGCAGAAGACAAAGUCCUGGCCCGUGUG